UUUCGACAAAUCGGAUGUUGGUUAUUUACGCGACGGUAGAGCAAUGUUUGUUUUGAAUUUCGAUUUACGUAGCAUAGCGUUUUUUCAAUAGACGUGUUCGUGUUUGAACCUUAUAAAAGUUUGUUAUUGAAUGUGCAACUGUAUAUUUAAAUAUUUUGUCUUUACUUUAAAAAAGUAGUGGAGUACACACAUACUACUUACAUACAUAUGUACAUAUAUUAAAUAUACUCGUUGUAUUAAAAUUUGUGAAAUUUGCAUAUAAGAGUGUGUGAAAUAAAGAAAAAGUGUAGUUUAAGUGCGCCAAAUAAAUUACAAUAUUCCUUUGAAGUUGUUAAUUACCAUAAAAAGAAGUUUUCAAAAAUUAAAAAAAAAAAAAAAAAUAGUACAAAAACAAGCAACGAAAAGUGUAAAGCUGAAUUUAAAUUCUUAAACGUUAACGCAUGCAAAUAUUAGUUACUUCUUAAAAUCAAAAUCGUUGGUUAUAAAGUAAUUGAAUUUAAAUACCUGAGUGAAGUAAAAUCCCUAUCCAACUUAAUUAGACGAAGUGAAUUAAUUACUGUCAACCAAAACGCGCCACGACUACGAUAACACGUUUAUCAUAGCGAUUUAGCUUACCAGCUACCAGUAAGACACGUUGUUUGUUCGUUUUUGCCAAGGUGUCUUAAGCAAGUGAACUUUUUUUUGUCCAACAUUCAUCCCAAAGGAUAACGACAUCAAGGCGUCAGCGUUCAUUACUGCAUAAAAACAGUAGACGGCGACGGCGACGACGACGACGGCGACCAGCACGACCGACCGGCAUUUUAAGUUCUAUUGAUAAAGGCAACUAACGUGUAAAGUGUGAAAAGUGCAAAAGCAAAAACAAAAACAAAUAUAAAAGAUUAUAGAAAUUCUAGUGCAUGUGAAUAAAAUAGAAAUUAUCGAAUACCGUUAAAUUGCAUAGCCAAAAUUCUGCAAGCACUUGGUCAGUAUACAAACCUACGAGGGGAUUGACAAAAGUUCGAUUGCACCAAAAUUUCCAGUCUGCAAAAAUUGUUUGGUUGCCCUCACUCAAAGAAUUAAAAACCCUUUCUAAUUGACAAAAUGGUAAGUUUGAAUGUAAUUUUUUCUAAAGACUUCUUUGAGACUUGAAUAGAAAUCAGAAGAUAUCUUUU